AAUACGGAGGGUGCAAGCGUUAUCCGGAUUCACUGGGUUUAAAGGGUGCGUAGGUGGGUUGGUAAGUCAGUGGUGAAAUCUCCGUGCUUAACAUGGAAACUGCCAUUGAUACUACUGAUCUUGAAUUUUCUGGAGGUAAGCGGAAUAUGUCAUGUAGCGGUGAAAUGCUUAGAUAUGACAUAGAACACCAAUUGCGAAGGCAGCUUACUACAGGGAUAUUGACACUGAGGCACGAAAGCGUGGGGAUCAAACAG
rnacentral:rRNA from 1 species